GAUUGAACGCUGGCGGCAGGCCUAACACAUGCAAGUCGAACGGUAACAGGAAGCAGCUUGCUGCUUYGCUGACGAGUGGCGGACGGGUGAGUAAUGUCUGGGAAACUGCCUGAUGGAGGGGGAUAACUACUGGAAACGGURGCUAAUACCGCAUAAYGUCGCAGGACCAAAGAGGGGGACCUUCGGGCCUCUUGCCAUCAGAUGUGCCCAGAUGGGAUUAGCUUGUUGGUGAGGUAACGGCUCACCAAGGCGACGAUCCCUAGCUGGUCUGAGAGGAUGACCAGCCACACUGGAACUGAGACACGGUCCAGACUCCUACGGGAGGCAGCAGUGGGGAAUAUUGCACAAUGGGCGCAAGCCUGAUGCAGCCAUGCCGCGUGUAUGAAGAAGGCCUUCGGGUUGUAAAGUACUUUCAGCGGGGAGGAAGGUG
rnacentral:rRNA from 1 species